CACAGACAGGAUAUUCCAACAGAAUAAUAACGAAUGGAAUAAUAGAAGAAUUUCACCAAGUAUAGGGUAGCCCGCGUAUACCGGUUAUUCCAACAGAAUAAUAAAUAAUGGAAUAACAGAAGUUCUCUUCAUGAAUACAAAAGAAAUAAUACCCCUUACGAGUACAACAAAUAAUAUUCCCUACCUUAAGAAGAAGAGUACUGGAUAUAUGAGUAGUGAAGUAGCCGAAUACUUUUCUUCUUUCUCUCUAUAGUUUAUCUCUCUAGAGUUUCAGUGAAUUCAUAAGAAAUAAUGAAGGAAUGAGCUUCUAUUUAU
rnacentral:lncRNA from 1 species